GGGGGUGAUUCUAGAUUCGACACGGGAGGUGGAAGCGACGCAGCAGGCCGCGGCGCUCGCCCGCGCAACAACGAGCACACUCUAGGAGUGCCGAAACUGACUCCUACGCUCUCGCCGCCGCCUGAGCGAACCCGCUGACAGACCCUCGUCUGCAGGCGGGCCACCGAAUGGCGUGGCAGAGCGCCAGCACUGCGUGAGGCUGGCUGUCCCGCGGGUACGUCUCCGUUCCGUCCCCGCGCCGGGCAUCAUGGAUGAACGGGGUGCGAGCGACCCCCGCCGCGUGGUUCGCCCAAGUGCACGUUUUCAACCGAAACGUGGAGCGGCUGGCCCGGCCAAGGCGCGUUCGCCCGCCUCCGGCCGGUGCAAGACCGAAGGGUGAACUAAGCCUGUAGACCCGUCGUUUCGAAUUUCGUGGACAGCGGUGCAAAUCCGCUCACCUCCACUA
rnacentral:tmRNA from 1 species